UACGUAGGCAGCAAGCGUUGUUCGGAAUUACUGGGCGUAAAGAGUGUGUAGGCGGUGCUGCAAGUCUGGUGUGAAAUCUCCCGGCUCAACUGGGAGGGUGCGCCGGAAACUGCAGUGCUAGAGGGUGGGAGAGGUAAGCGGAAUUCCUGGUGUAGCGGUGAAAUGCGUAGAUAUCAGGAGGAACACCUGUGGUGGAGACAGCUUACUGGACCACUUCUGACGCUGAGACACGAAAGCGUGGGUAGCAAACAGG
rnacentral:rRNA from 1 species